GACGAACGCUGGCGGCGUGCUUAACACAUGCCAGUCGAACGGAAAGGCCCUGCUUGCAGGGUGCUCGAGUGGCGAACGGGUGAGUAACACGUGGGUGAUCUGCCCCUUACUUUGGGAUAAGCCUGGGAAACUGGGUCUAAUACUGGAUAGGACCAUGCUGUAGGUGGUGUGGUGGAAAGAUUAGUUUCGGUAAGGGAUGAGCUCGCGGCCUAUCAGCUUGUUGGUGGGGUAAUGGCCUACCAAGGCGUCGACGGGUAGCCGGCCUGAGAGGGUGGACGGCCACAUUGGGACUGAGAUACGGCCCAGACUCCUACGGGAGGCAGCAGUGGGGAAUAUUGCACAAUGGGCGCUAGCCUGAUGCAGCGACGCCGCGUGGGGGAUGACGGCCUUCGGGUUGUAAACUCCUUUCAGCCAUGACGAAGCCCUUGUGGUGACGGUAGUGGUAGAAGAAGCACCGGCUAACUACGUG
rnacentral:rRNA from 1 species